AACGAACGCUGGCGGCAUGCCUAACACAUGCAAGUCGAACGAGACCUUCGGGUCUAUUGGCGCACGGGUGCGUCACGCGUGGGAACCUUCCCUUAGGUUCGGAAUAACUCCCCGAAAGGGGUGCUAAUACCGGAUAAUUUCUUCGGACCAAAGAUUUAUCGCCUUUGGAUGGGCCCGCGUUGGAUUAGCUAGUUGGUAGGGUAAAAGCCUACCACGGCGACGAUCCAUAGCUGGUCUGAGAGGAGGAUCAGCCACACUGGGACUGAGACACGGCCCAGACUCCUACGGGAGGCAGCAGUGGGGAAUAUUGGACAAUGGGCGAAAGCCUGAUCCAGCUAUGCCGCGUGAGUGAUGAAGGCCUUAGGGUUGUAAAGCUCUUUUAACCGGGAUGAUAAUGACAGUACCGGGAGAAUAAGCCCCGGCUAACUCCGUG
rnacentral:rRNA from 1 species